AUGCCAUGGAUCCGUACGGGAAGCCGCGCUCUGGCCUUCCUCGUCGUCACCGGCGACCCCCGCCUCGCCACCCGUCUCCGGAUCAGCCUCCCCAGCCCCCGUCGUGCACGUAUUCGGCCCCUGCAAGCUUCAGCCAUCGCCGACGCUCUGCAUCAAGCAACCCCAAAACGAGAGCAACGCAAGCGGGAGAAAAAUGACGGGCUGCUAAUGACAAAAAUGAUGGACCAAUUGAGAGUAGGAUUCUUCGGGACGCCGAAAUAUUGUGCAUCAUAUGAGCUGUGGUAUUAUUUGAAUCUUGGUGCAAAAAUUCAGACCAAUGUAUUCUACCUACUGUUGCUUCUCAGCUUCAACAUCAUUUGA
rnacentral:rRNA from 1 species